UAGGGAAUCUUCGGCAAUGGGGGGCGAACCCUGACCGAGCAACGCCGCGUGAGUGAAGAAGGUUUCGGAUUGUAAAGCUCUGUUGUAAGAGAAGAACGUGUGUGAGAGUGGAAAGUUCACACAGUGACGGUAACUUACCAGAAAGGGACGGCUAACUACGUGCCACCAG
rnacentral:rRNA from 1 species